ACCGGUCUGAUCAGUAUCGCCUGCAAGUGGAUAAGACGAUACUGUUGAAUAAACAGAUCAGACAGACAGGAAAAAGAGCAAAAGGGAGCAAAUACUGAAAGAGAAAGGGAAAGAGAAAACAACUCAGAAGAAAAUAUGGAUCUGAGUGCGUACAGACUGGCAUAAGGAAGCAUGCAACAAGGAUAGCAGAGAAAGAAAGACAGGGUGAAAGUCUAGAGUUAUGACAGAGCUAUAAAGACAAUCACAUGUAACUUGUAUUUAAAUCUAUGGAGGAAUCAGUCUAAUGAGGUCUGCAUGGAUAUGUUUGUCUCAGAACGCACACAUACUGUAUCUUAUCUUCUGUCUCUACCAUUACACUCAGGCGAUCACCAUCCAGGUGUCGGGGAACGCCGUCACGGCUCCAGUACAGGGAAGUGCACUGUUCUCCGUGGACAUCACGUGCAUCGGGACUCCAGCAGUCAGAUGGGUGUUCAGUUCUGUGAGCCGACAGCAAAGGAUCGCCUCUUGGAUCCUCGGCGGCUCUGCCAAUGUCACGCAAAUGUACAAGGGAAGAGUGCAAACGCAUCCCAACGGUUCUCUAACCUUAUCCAACUUACGUCUCCAAGACUCCGGCUACUACAUCAUCACCGUGACAGAAACGUCUGGUAACAGCCAAGACAUGGGUCUGGUAUUGAGUGUGACUGAGGUGCUGCACGAGGACAUGCCGUUCUUGGUGGUUUUCGUCAUUGCGCUGGCGACCCUGGCUGCUUUCCUAAUGCUGUGUAUGUGGCUCUGGAAUAAACUCUACCGCCUCAUACAAGCCUGGGUACAGAGGAGAUGCUUACCAGAGCACACGGAGACCGAACUACAGCCACUGUGACGAAAACACACUCGCUUAUUAACGUGUGUGAGAUGAAGAGGACGAGCCGAGUGAAGAACUUCACAUCCAGAAAUAGAACAUUACUCAUAUUUAUAUAUAUACUGUAUAUAUAUAUAUAUAUAUAUAUAUAUAUAGUGUUCACACCACUCAAUUUAUUUCUGCCUUAUGUUAAUAUUUUCACAUCAAUCUACACACCAUACACCAUAAUGACAAAGAAAAAGAACAGAUGUGACAGCUUUGCAAAUUUUAUUAAAAAUAAAAAACUGAAAUCGCUUUGGAUAAAUGCAUCUGCUAAAUGACGAAAUGUGAAAUAUUUACAUGGCAUAAGUAUUCAUACCCUUUUCUGGGACACUUGAAACUUAGCUCAAUUUCACUUGUAGAUGUUACAACACUUCGAUUGGAGUUAAAGGGAUAGUUCAAAUUGAAAUUAAUUUUUGGUAUGUUUUAUCUUACCUCAAGGGUAUCCGAGA